UACAGAGGUCUCAAGCGUUGUUCGGAAUCACUGGGCUUAAAGGGCGCGUAGGCGGCUUGCCAAGUCGGGGGUGAAAUCCGGCAGCUUAACUGUCGAAGUGCCUUCGAUACUGGCAAGCUCGAGGGAGGUAGGGGUCUGUGGAACUUCUGGUGGAGCGGUGAAAUGCGUUGAUAUCAGAAGGAACGCCGGUGGCGAAAGCGACGGACUGGACCUCUUCUGACGCUGAGGCGCGAAAGCUAGGGGAGCAAACGGG
rnacentral:rRNA from 1 species